GCCUGGGAACUACGAGCAAAGCUUAAAACCCAAAGGACUUGACGGUGCCCCAUAUCCCCCUAGAGGAGCCUGUCCUAUAAUCGAUGAUCCCCGUUGAACCUCACCACUUCUAGCUAAUCAGCCUGUAUACUUCCGUCGUAAGUUUACCACGUGAGCGAUAACUCAGUAAGUCCAAUGUCCUACACUUACUCCAUAAUCCCGACAAUACGUCAGGUCAAAGUGCAGCAAAUGAAGCGGGAAGAGAUUGGCUACACUUUUUAAUGUAAAAGAAAACGAAAGACAAUAAUGAAACUUUGUCCAAAGGCGGAUUUAGCAGUAAAAAGAAUUCAUAAUAUUCAUUUUAACUUGGCACUGGGGUGUGU
rnacentral:rRNA from 1 species